rnacentral:rRNA from 1 species
AUUGAACGCUGGCGGCAUGCCUUACACAUGCAAGUCGAACGGCAGCACGGGAGCAAUCCUGGUGGCGAGUGGCGAACGGGUGAGUAAAGUAUCGGAACGUGCCCAGUCGUGGGGGAUAACGUAGCGAAAGUUACGCUAAUACCGCAUACGAUCUAUGGAUGAAAGCGGGGGAUCGCAAGACCUCGCGCGAUUGGAGCGGCCGAUAUCAGAUUAGGUAGUUGGUGGGGUAAGGGCUCACCAAGCCGACGAUCUGUAGCUGGUCUGAGAGGACGACCAGCCACACUGGGACUGAGAAACGGCCCAGACUCCUACGGGAGGCAGCAGUGGGGAAUUUUGGACAAUGGGCGAAAGCCUGAUCCAGCCAUGCCGCGUGCAGGAUGAAGGCCUUCGAGUUGUAAACUGCUUUUGUACGGAACGAAAAGGUUUGGCCUAAUAAGCUGAGCUCAUGACGGUACCGUAAGAAUAAGCACCGGCUAACUACGUGCCAGCCGCCGCGGUAA